rnacentral:lncRNA from 10 species
GUUCUUAAAUGCUGUAAAAUGAAUCUCCUUCGUGGGGGGUGUAGUGAGACUACGAACAGCUAGAGAACUGCUGCUUAGGCCUGGAUACUUGACUUGUGGUUUGUAGCCCAGCAGCAUCAGCAUCACUUGAGAAUUUAUUAGAAGUGCAAAUUCUUAGGACUUAGCCCAGAUUUUCUGAACCAGAAUCAUUUAACAAGAUUCCCAUAUGAUUUGUGUGCACAUUAAUGUCUGAAAAGCGCUAUUCUCAGGGAUCUUCCAGAAGAAUGAAUUUCAAUGUUGGAGUCCAUCAUAUAGAUCCAUAUUUAAAGACUUCUGGAGACAAAGGAAUUCUCAGGUGUCCUACCUUAGCUUAAGGCUGGUCUUGAACUCCUGACCUCAGAUGAUCCACCCACCUCGGCCUCCCAAAGUUCCGGGAUUAGAGGCGAGAGCCACUGUGCCCAGCCUUGAAAUUAAACUAUCAUAGGUGUCUAGGUAUAGGAAAAAAAAAUGUAUAUAUAGGGUUCAGUUCUGUCCUCAGUUUCAGGCAUCCAUUGGGGGUCUUGGAACACAACUCCCCCUUGAAUAAGGGGUCUAUAGUAUUUCAGGCAGAGUGAAGGGGAAGGGCAAGGGGUAAUGGCUCUUUCUUCCAGCUGAAUCAGUUCCCUUGAAAAAGACUUCGCAGAAACCUCACCCUGGGACUUUU